UGGCUCAGAACGAACGCUGGCGGCAUGCCUUACACAUGCAAGUCGAACGGCAGCACGGGGGCAACCCUGGUGGCGAGUGGCGAACGGGUGAGUAAUACAUCGGAACGUGCCCCGUAGCGGGGGAUAACCAGUCGAAAGACUGGCUAAUACCGCAUACGCUCUACGGAGGAAAGCAGGGGAUCGCAAGACCUUGCACUAUGGGAGCGGCCGAUGCCCGAUUAGCUAGUUGGUGAGGUAAAGGCUCACCAAGGCAACGAUCGGUAGCUGGUCUGAGAGGACGACCAGCCACACUGGGACUGAGACACGGGCCAGACUCCUACGGGAGGCAGCAGUGGGAGCUUU
rnacentral:rRNA from 1 species